rnacentral:rRNA from 1 species
CUGGUAAAAUCAGGUAGCUUAACUAUCUGCAUGCUAGGAAUACUGUUAUACUAGAGGACGGGAGAGGUCUGAGGUACUACAGGGGUAGGGGUGAAACCUUAUAAUCCUUGUAGGACCACCAGUGGCGAAGGCGUCAGACUGGAACGUGCCUGACGGUGAGGGACGAAAGCCAGGGGAGCGAACCGGAUUAGAUACCCGGGUAGUCCUGGCCGUAAACGAUGCAUACUAGGUGAUGGCGUGGCCAUGAGCCGUGUCAGUGCCGUAGGGAAACCGUUAAGUGUGCCGCCUGGGAAGUACGGUCGCAAGGCUAAAACUUAAAGGAAUUGGCGGGGGAGCACCACAAGGGGUGAAGCCUGCGGUUCAAUUGGACUCAACGCCGGGAAACUUACCAGGGGAGACAGCAGAAUGAUGGUCAGGUUGACGACGCUUACCUAACGAGCUGAGAGGAGGUGCAUGGCCGUCGCCAGUUCGUGCCGUGAGGUAUCCUGUUAAGUCAGGCAACGAACGAGAUCCGCGCCUUUAUUUGCCAGCAAGAAGUCGCGACUUCGUUGGGAACACUAAAGGGACCGCCGUCGAUAAGACGGAGGAAGGAGCGGGCAAAGGCAGGUCAGUAUGCCCCGAAACCCCUGGGCUACACGCGGGCUGCAAUGGUAUGAACAAUGGGCUGUAACUCCGAAAGAAGAAACCAAUCCCGAAAUCAUAUCUCAGUGGGGAUUGUCGGCUGUAACCCGCUGACAUGAACGUGGAAUCCCUAGUAAUCGUGUGUCAUCAUCGCGCGGUGAA